AAGUAAACUGUACGAUAGCAACUGAAUUGUUUACAUGAAAUGGUGGAAGAUUUAAAUUUGACUUUAAAAUAUCAUGUCUCAAUUUAUUAACACCAACACUAUUCCAUGUGAAAUUUCACAAGACCAGGACACUUCGUUUUUAAAUUUAAAUGAUUUAUCGAAUGUUGGGAAGUUACGGUCUUGGCGAACAGCAUUCUCACUUUCAGUGUGACAACUGUUGCGGCCAAAAUAAAAACAACAUAGUCAUCUGGUACCUUCUGUGGAGAGUUCUUGUAGGUUUACACAGAAUCAUCACACGAAGCUUUAUGUUGAUAAGACAUACAAAGUUUACACCAGAUUGGCACUUUGGCAUCUGGAAAUCAAAGUGGAGAAACUUCAAUGCAGAAAUGUUGUCUGAUGUCGCUGCGUUUGUGGGGUUAUCGUCAAGGUCGGGCCACAACAUCCCCCAGCUUGUGGGGGACUCUUCCAAUCCUGUUGUUAUCUAAGACAGGAAGGAUUGCCUUACGACAUUGUUUCACCACAUAAAGAAUGUCACCAAAUUUCAUCAAUUUCCAUGUGUCAGCGGAGCAUCCGGUGUUGUGGAAUGCAGGGAAUUUAGUGAAUCACCAGUAGUCAGAAUCACUCUCAGGAAGGUCUCGAAAGUGAAUGUUAAUGUGAGCUGUGACAACCUGCCAUAAGAAAUGUUUGCGAAAGGGCUUGAUCUGGACCAUCAGUGGUAUUUAUUUGAAAACAUUCGUGAAUUCUGUCGCAUAGAUGAACCAAAAACUUGACAUGUCCGAAACGCGCUACUGGUGAGCAACAAAAAACAGACAGUGCCCCCCAAAAAAGAAGAUGCAUUAAGAUGCGCAUCUGAUCUUCUCUGAUGGUGCCACAACAAUUACAUACAUCAUGUAUCAGUGUUUAUUUUGGCCAAGGUAUUGGGUGAUAUAUUUUCCCACAAACAAUGCAAAAAAUCCUCUAUUCCUAGGAAAGCUAAAACAUGUAUACAAUUGCUAAAUGUGUCAGUUGAUACAGGUUUUGAGAUGUUCAAUGCAAACUUUUGUUGUUUUAAUUGCACAAGCUUGUUUUCAAGUUUUUUAUAUCUCAUAUUUAAAAAACAAAAAUCAUUUGUUCCAUGUAGAUCUAACCAUGCAAUUGUUUUCACCUUAUGGACACAGACUGCCUAUCAGAAUAACUGGAAAAAAAUCAGUGUGAAUAUUGUAUUUAUUUAUGUUUUACAAUGAAAAUCCUAUAUUUUUGUUUGUUUGCUACAUUGUUUCCAUAGUAACAAAAACAAACAAUUUUUAUGUUUAAGUUAUUGUUUAUUUUUUCUAUUUUUCUCUAUCAGAAAUAAUGAUAAUAAUGAUUAUUUCAUUUACUGAAACAUUUAGUAUCCAAGUGUACUUUCAACCAACACUUUUCAAUGCUGUGUUUUUCCAUUCUGUUGUGUUUGAGGUUACAUUAUACUUAAAUACACAUGUAACUGAAUAAAAAAAGGAAAUUGUUCAUGGAACACACACAUUAUUGAUUGUUAUCGUUUAACUAGUUACAAAACAGUGAAAUUAAUGUUGUGUUUGCCUUUAAACAAACACUUGAUUGAAAAUACAAUUCAUACAUUUAUAAAAGGCGUGAUUGUGUGCUCUGGUGAUUAUUUACAUGUAGAUUGGUUACCAUAGCAACACAAAUGGUACAUUUUAAAUGUCCAUAAUGCUGUUGUCAGUUUAUUGCACUAUAAAUAUGUAUUUGACUAAAGGAAAGAUUAUUGUUUUAAUAAAACAAUGUGCUUGUUGUUUGAAAAUUUUCGUUGUUUUUUUUGUAAUAAAUGAUAACUUUUAGUGACGGUAAAAUGUAGGGUUGGUCACUUUGGAAGGUCAUAAAAUUAGUUUUGAAUGUGAUAAAUAAAAAAUCUAUAUCAUUUUUGUGAACUACAAUGUUCAGAAAAUCCAAAAUUGCCAAAAAGUCAAAAUGUGAUUUUUUGAACACAAGACUGAUUUUCCCAGCUUUGGUCACAUAUAUUAUUUCUAUGUAAUAUUUCUUCAGUUCUGUAUUGAAGACUUGAUCUUUCUUGUGAGUAUUUUGAACAGUCAAAUUUGAAGUAUUUUUAUAGUUUCUGGUGUUCUACAUGCUUCACACUCCACAUCUUCGCUGUUUGUAAUCUUGGACCAGUGAGCCUCUAGGCGAGUAUGUCCACUAAGUAAUUGGUUCACUACAUUGAAUAUUUUUCUCUUUUUUUUUCUCCAACGCAAGCUCUGGAUCCCGGCUUUGGGAUGCACUCUUGGAUUUUUGUUGUUUUUUCUGAAUGCAGAUAUUGAACUUCCCAUUUUUGUAUUGAUUUUAU